rnacentral:rRNA from 1 species
AACGAACGCUGGCGGCAUGCUUUACACAUGCAAGUCGAACGGUAACAGGCCGCAAGGUGCUGACGAGUGGCGAACGGGUGAGUAAUGCAUCGGAACGUGCCCAGUCGUGGGGGAUAACGCAGCGAAAGCUGCGCUAAUACCGCAUACGAUCUAUGGAUGAAAGCGGGGGACCGUAAGGCCUCGCGCGAUUGGAGCGGCCGAUAUCAGAUUAGCUUGUUGGUGGGGUAAAAGCCCCACCAAGGCGACGAUCUGUAGCUGGUCUGAGAGGACGACCAGCCACACUGGGACUGAGACACGGCCCAGACUCCUACGGGAGGCAGCAGUGGGGAAUUUUGGACAAUGGGCGCAAGCCUGAUCCAGCCAUGCCGCGUGUGGGAAGAA